UACGGAGGGUGCAAGCGUUAUCCGGAUUUACUGGGUUUAAAGGGUGCGUAGGCGGGCAGGUAAGUCAGUGGUGAAAUCUUCGAGCUUAACUCGGAAACUGCCUUUGAUACUAUCUGUCUUGAAUAUUGUGGAGGUAAGCGGAAUAUGUCAUGUAGCGGUGAAAUGCGUAGAUAUCUGGAGGAAUACCGGUGGCGAAGGCGGCAUCCUGGACCGGCAUUGACGCUGAGUGAGCGAAAGCCAGGGGAGCAAACGGG
rnacentral:rRNA from 1 species